AUUGAACGCUGGCGGAAUGCUUUACACAUGCAAGUCGAACGGCAGCACGGACUUCGGUCUGGUGGCGAGUGGCGAACGGGUGAGUAAUGUAUCGGAACGUGCCCAGUCGUGGGGGAUAACGUAGUGAAAAUUACGCUAAUACCGCAUACGAUCUAUGGAUGAAAGCGGGGGAUCGCAAGACCUCGCGCGAUUGGAGCGGCCGAUAUCAGAUUAGGUAGUCGGUGGGGUAAAGGCCCACCAAGCCAACGAUCUGUAGCUGGUCUGAGAGGACGACCAACCACACUGGAACUGAGACACGUUCCAGACUCCUACGGGAGGCAGCAGUGGGGAAUUUUGGACAAUGGGCGAAAGCCUGAUCCAGCCAUUCCGCGUGCAGGAUGAAGGCCCUCGGGUUGUAAACUGCUUUUGUACAGAACGAAAAGGUUUCUACUAAUACUAGGAGCUCAUGACGGUACUGUAAGAAUAAGCACCGGCUAACUACGUGCCAGCAGCCGCCGUAA
rnacentral:rRNA from 1 species